rnacentral:rRNA from 1 species
AUUGAACGCUGGCGGCAUGCCUUACACAUGCAAGUCGAACGGCAGCACGGGAGCUUGCUCCUGGUGGCGAGUGGCGAACGGGUGAGUAAUACAUCGGAACGUACCCUGAAGUGGGGGAUAACGUAGCGAAAGUUACGCUAAUACCGCAUAUUCUGUGAGCAGGAAAGAGGGGGAUCGCAAGACCUCUUGCUUUAGGAGCGGCCGAUGUCGGAUUAGCUAGUUGGUGAGGUAAAGGCUCACCAAGGCGACGAUCCGUAGCGGGUCUGAGAGGAUGAUCCGCCACACUGGGACUGAGACACGGCCCAGACUCCUACGGGAGGCAGUAGUGGGGAAUUUUGGACAAUGGGCGCAAGCCUGAUCCAGCCAUGCCGCGUGAGUGAAGAAGGCCUCGGUUGUAAG